UCUCUCCCAUUCCACAUGUCCCAUGUUUAUUAUUUUACUUCGAUCUACUCUCCGUCUCUUUCCCACACCCUCCAUAUCCUCUCUGUCUCUAUACCACCGCCACCCGCAGCCCCUCCUACUCCCCUCUCCACCGCUGCGGCAUCGUGGCAUCCUCCCCCUCAACGGUGGUGACUCCGGCGGGCUGCUCUGCUAGCUGGGACAACGAUGGCUCCCAUGGGCAGAUCUGUCGGUGGCGACGGCGGAGACUGUGCAGAUCCAUAGGCUGCGGCGGCGGUGGCUCCCGCGCUCGGAUUUGUCAGUUGCAACGACGAUGGCUCCCGUGGCCGGAUCCAUUGGUUCAGAUGACGACAAGCAUGGGCUCCCAUGAGCGGAUCCGGCGAUGUCUCCCGCAGAUGGAUCCAGUGGCGUCGAUGGCUCUCGCACAUGGAGGCAGCAAUGGCAACCUCGGCGCCCCAAUGAGCGAUGGCGGCAGGCGGAGUUCUCGUCUGCAGGGAUGUUGUUGUUAGAUGGAUUGAUGGGUGAUUUGUGUUUUGUGAUUUGGAGGAUGUUGUUGGAUAAAUCGAUGGUGGUAUGGGGGUGAUAGGGAGCAACUUAAUUUAAGCCGAUGCAUCGAGCCAGCGUUUUUUUUUUCCGCAUUCGUGGAACCUCAAAGGUGCUAGUUUCUAAACUGAACUUUGGUUACUCCUCAUCAGUGCCAUUUGAGGGGUUUCGGUUGGGAAAUCCAAUACCUAUGUGAUGUUCGCAAUCAGCACCUAUUAGGUUUUAGUGUGUGAUAACUGAUAUACAAAAUAAAAAAGAAACAUCUAUUAGGUUUUA